rnacentral:misc_RNA from 1 species
AACACUGUUAACCUGCGGUACCUGCGGAGGGAUCAUUAUAGUAUAUGGAAUCUCCAUUCUAUAAACCCACUCUGCGUAUCUUGUAACUGUUGCUUCCAUGGGACUCGGUUCCGCCACACCGGCUUCACGGCUGGUGAGCGCCCAUGGAAGGAGAAACAAAACUCUUCUUUGAAAUGUAGUCAGUCUGAACAAGUUUUUAUAAACGUUAAAACUUUCAACAAUGGAUCUCAGAUCGGAAGA